rnacentral:rRNA from 1 species
GGUACUUGUACCGACUGGAUGAGCAGCGAACGGGUGAGUAACGCGUGGGGAAUCUGCCUUUGAGCGGGGGACAACAUUUGGAAACGAAUGCUAAUACCGCAUAAAAACUUUAAACACAAGUUUUAAGUUUGAAAGAUGCAAUUGCAUCACUCAAAGAUGAUCCCGCGUUGUAUUAGCUAGUUGGUGAGGUAAAGGCUCACCAAGGCGAUGAUACAUAGCCGACCUGAGAGGGUGAUCGGCCACAUUGGGACUGAGACACGGCCCAAACUCCUACGGGAGGCAGCAGUAGGGAAUCUUCGGCAAUGGACGAAAGUCUGACCGAGCAACGCCGCGUGAGUGAAGAAGGUUUUCGGAUCGUAAAACUCUGUUGGUAGAGAAGAACGUUGGUGAGAGUGGAAAGCUCAUCAAGUGACGGUAACUACCCAGAAAGGGACGGCUAACUACGUGCCAGCAGCCGCGGUAAUACGUAGGUCCCGAGCGUUGUCCGGAUUUAUUGGGCGUAAAGCGAGCGCAGGUGGUUUAUUAAGUCUGGUGUAAAAGGCAGUGGCUCAACCAUUGUAUGCAUUGGAAACUGGUAGACUUGAGUGCAGGAGAGGAGAGUGGAAUUCCAUGUGGU